GCCGGGAUGGCGGAAUAGGCAUACGCGGGCGCCUCAAAAGCGUCUGCCCUUCGGGGCAUGCGGGUUCGAGUCCCGCUCUCGGCA
rnacentral:tRNA from 1 species